UUUGCGAAAAAUGUCAAUGAUAUUAGACCAUAUGCUCCCCCCGGAUGCUCUCGCUGAUGAAAUGAGAAAGAUAUAUUUGAUCAUCUCUAUUCUCAUGUAAUCAGCACCCCCGUGGAAUCAAUGCAAACUUUGAAAAUAUCUCUCCAGUUCAAUCUCUACCCACACGUAGGGAUUGCCACAAAAAUUACACAUAUCAUCCCUAGACUAGAAAAAUGGCUGACAACCGUCUAAGCUCCGAUACACAUCUUGGACGCAAAAUACAUGUAUAUACUUAUAUAUACAACAAACAUUUUCCUCAUAGUACAUUUGGAUCAUAUACUAGAUACAUUUUCCACUGUUCUAUUACACAACCCAGCAUUACUUGAUGACAGCAGCCUGAAGAACUGUGUGCAGUAGGAUCAACCAUUAUAAGGGAUUGAGGGGAAGCUGUGGCUUUCACCAUCCUCUGCAAAAAGGGGGGAAAGCAAGAGGAUUUAGAGGUCAGCGAUCUUUGUAUUGAAAUCAAAAUAAAAUGAUCAUAAAUUUAUAAUCGAACUCACAUGCCUAUAUGGAAUUUAGUUAUAUAUUGAAGGAGGUGAAUCUCCCAGCCACAACACAAAUGAUAUUUGUAGAAUGAUAUCUCGGAAAAAAAAUGUCGUUUCCAAAUUGAUAUUAUCCCACAUGGUAUCUACCAAAAUGAAAUAUCAUAAGGCAUGUAAGUAAAAAUCAAAAUCAAUGUCCUAUGUGAUCGGUAUAUGUCUCCAGUGCAUAUCAUCAGAGACAGAACAUACAGGUUUUAAUUAAUGAUGACAUACAUAUGUGUAAGACACGUCCUUGUAAUUAAGUUCUAACUAGAUAUGUUGAAUUGUACAUGGGAAAAAGAUCACAAAAGUAUGUACUUAUGUAUGAAAAUCAAAGUGACAGCUAUCUGAUCCAGUACCGAUAAAAAGAAAAUCGUUUGUGCUGCUCUAGUGAGCCUGAAAAUUCAGCAAAAUGUUAGCCUAGCAAGUAAGUACUCUGCUGAACCUGAAAAUUUUAAAAAUUACUAUGAUGUCAGCAAAAAGUUGAUAGAAGUUAUCAACAAGAAUCAUAUAUGAAUCGAGAUCCUCAACAAGGAAUGUACUAAUGAGAUCAUCAGAGUGGUCAAUGCCAACAAAAGUAUUCUUCUUUAACUAGCUAGUAUAGUAUGCACCAGUUAUUUUGGGAGAUCAGCUGCUGGCAGAUUUGUGAGUAAGUGACCAUAUGGGUGAAUGUGAAUAGCAAACAAGAGGUCACAAAGAGGAGGUGGUAGAUUAAUUGAUCAAUAAACACUAGGCAGUGGGCACUGGCUGAAUCUAACUCCAUUUAGUAAUUUCUGUACCUUGCUGUUCCUAACCUAAUUAGUCAGUGAAAAGCCUCUGACCAGUGAACUUUCAAAAAAUUUAAGAAGGCUUAUAUUGACAAACUGUGUGGACAACCAACAAGCAUGUUACUGACUGAGAUCAACUGAUUGUGCGAUGAAAGGGAAAACUUGCAAAAUCUGUAAAGGAACGAACAAUAAUAAUAAUAAUAAUAAUAAUAAUAAUAAUAAUAAUAAUAAUAAUAAUAAUAAUAAUAAUAAUAAUAAUAAUAAAGAGUAAAGAGUAAAGCUCUUGUCUCCGAGGAAGUCAGCACACACGUUGGAGGCGCGGCUGCGCUGGAGCCGGAAGUGUUUGAUGCAGCGGCGGCUGGGCAAGGUCGUGGGUGCCGCUGACAGGAUGCUCCGGUAUGAAUCUCAGGAAGGUAGAAAAUAGAGAGAAAUUUGGGGAAAAGAGGAAUAGGGGAGAGAGAGAGAGAGAGAGAGAGAGAGAGAGAUGCAAUCCGUCCAAACCAAGUUGCAGGGGAGGGAUCUGAACGAGUGGGAAGGAGGUCGCAUCAGUCGCUCAGGUCGUGGGGGAACCGGGAGGGAGCGAGCACCGCCUCCGCUACCGUCCUCUCUGCCCCACGGAGGAAAUUAAUCUCGUCGCUGAGCGCAGGUUGCAGGUGAUGCAGCUGAGCGCCUCCUCCGCUUUCCUCUCAUCUCCCGGUGCCGCCGGGGGAGCUGUAGUAUGGUGGGUGCCGCCAUAUUACGAUGUGGAGACGAGCAGAUAACAGAUCGCGCCGUUUUUCCAAUUUCACCGGAUUAACACACA
rnacentral:lncRNA from 1 species